CUUGGAUCAACUGGGAUCAGAUGACCCAAGCAACAGAGAUUUGAGCUGCUCCGACAUGCUGAAGGCUGAACUUUGCUUGCUUCCUCAUGCUGCCACGAUGGACGCACCUAUGCACCAUAGGCGGCAAAUAACCCGCUCGUGCAGUCUUGGGGACUCACUGACUAGGAGCGCCACUUUCCACGGUUUAACCCAGACCACAGACCAACCCAGCAAAGAGGAGGGGCGGACUCGACAGCGACGCAUAACUGUCGCAUCAUAUAUGCCUGAUUCUAAGGAUCAGAAUGGAAACUUCCCCGAGAAGGACAGAAAAGGGCAAGAGGCCAAAUCUCUCAAGGAGCUGAAUACAGAAGAAGUCUGCCAGUGGUUUACCAGUAUUGGACUGCAAAAAUGUCUCCCCUUCAUCAAAGAAGCGAAACUGUGUGGAGCAGACAUAGCCUCGGUGGAUGUGAGCACUCUGGACAUCCUCCAGAUCAGCACACUGGAAGACAGGGAGCAGCUGCUGUCAGCCAUCUAUAAUGAGCUUCACCCUCCGAGCACCACCGCUCAGAGAAUCGACUCUUUGCUCGAAUCCUUAGGGCCAAAUACCGUGGAGACAUUCACGUCCACUCUGGGGUCAAUGACCAAGUCCAAGUCUUCUCCUCAUGUGAGCUGCCUGAGUAUGAAUCGACGUUCCCUCAGAAACAGCAGCCAAAAGAAUACGGCACAGAGAAAUUCACAUCUAAUAGAAAUUACUAUUAAUGCAUCAGAGCGUAUAGUUCAUCUCAGAACGCCAAAGGAAACAACAGUUGGAAAAAUCAUGGAGUCGUGUGUUAAAAUGCUGGGAGUGACAGAAGAUAAGAGCCUGUUCACAAUGAAAGAAAAGCAAGGUUCACCUGAGGAGCUCUCACUAGAUCAGCAGAUCGGGACUUUACUGACAUCAUCAUCAUCAUCGGAGAACAGACAGCUGGAGUUGUACUUGUGUAAAACGGACAAACCAGCAGGUUCAGCCACCCAAAAUAGUGCAGAAGUAAACAGUUCCAGCGAAAAUGGCAGCAGCAACAACCAAAACAUCCAGCCACCUAAAGAAGAAAGAAUCAGGGAACUAAACCAACAGGUUGACUCGCUCCAGAAUGUCAUCCUUCAGGUCCAGGAGCUCCACCACGGCCUGGUUGCUUUUUGCUCCGAGUUAAAGAACAUGGAUGGAGAUGUGAAGUUGGACAAACUUGGGUCUGCUGAGCUGAAGCAGAAGCUGGAUUUGGUUCACAGCCAACUGAACGACAAAAAGCAGAACCUGCAGACCCUCAGAGACAACAUUAACAACUUUACUGCUCACAAGAAGAAACAGCUGGAGGUUCGUCUCUUGGAAAAGAUGAAGCUGAACUGCCAAGUGUUCAAGGAGGAAAUUUCCAUCGUACAUCUCAACCGACAGGCGGCUCACCUUCAAAACGUCUUACAAGAAAGCUAUGUUAAGGAGAAAGCUCAAAAAAAGACUUUGGCCAUUGGUAGCCUGAGCCAGCUGGUGUCACCACAGUCUCCAGCCAUGCUGCUGGUUGUACAGGAGAACCAGAGCCCUGAUGGCCAUUAUGGGUUCAUAUGUCGCUACAGGGAAGAAGGCGGACUAGUGGUAGUCAAGGUGGACAAUUCUCACCUCUGCGUGGAUGACAGAUUGGUGGAGGUGAACGGUGUACCGGUUGUCAACUCCACACAGGAAGAGCUGACUGACCUCCUGCUGCAGGGACCCAGUGCUCAAAUUGUUGUCCUUCGCCAACCCCCGCCCAGCCUCACCUCCCCUCUGUUCCUGCAGCAUACGGUCAGCCCUGAUCCCGUGCAAACAGUCUGCCCAGAGGGAGAUGCAGUCACCAUGGAAACCCCUCCACAGCGUAAGGUGAUGGCCAUCUGAUGAUUACAAGGAAGAGAAAAAAAAGACUGAGAGAAUUGCGAUGAGAAAAGUCUGCAGUCUUAUAGUUUUUUACCUCCAUAUGUGAACAUGCUUAUUGUACUGGUGAAAUGUUUCUCAUUGAUUGUUGACAAUCGCCUUUUAGUUAGAAAUGUCAUGACUGUGUUUUUCACCAUAGGUACAUAACUUUAUUCUUGGUAGUCAGUAAUGUAUAACAGAUAUUGUUUCAAUGUUUGCACAGAGCAAUGCCUUUAAAAAACAAAUAACUCAAGCAAAGACUACAUUCAUUUUUUUUCUAUUUAGAGUUCUCCUUGUUUUAUAUUAUCUAUUUUUUUUUUUUUUUGCCAUGGGGGAACAUGGAAAGUACAAAGCCUCACAAAGUUUUGCUCAACUGGAUAUGUGAUAAGCAUUUCCUUCUUUUUAAGCAUCCAGC
ensembl:lncRNA